rnacentral:piRNA from 1 species
UGUGCAAACCUCGGGGUGGGGU